UGGCACACAGGCCAUCCUGUUGGAUCGUGUCGGUGUGUCUGUGUGUGCGUGUCGAGUAAAGAGUAAGAACAAAAUGCUGUACUUUGAUGGCGGCCUCCACCGCGUUGCGGACGUCCUUCCUGCCUCCGUCCGGGCAGUAGGCCAGCACGCUGGCGCCAUCUGGUGUCUGCACCGCAACACUGCCUCCAGACUCGGACUUGCACGACUUGCCCGCGACAAGCUGCCGGUAGAACUUGGGGGCACUAAGGAUACUCUCCCAGCCUGAUCGAGAGGCCGCAGUGAGAGAGGAAUGGCCCAUGUUCCCCCGGCCCCCGCUUUCAGUGAUCAAAAUGAAAGUGAAUGCAGAGGUACUUCCAUCGCGUGCCUCGGAAGAAAUAGAACGAUCAACCGUUUAAGAGGCGUGCUUAUGGGCCUUCCAGAAGCACUGAAGCCACUUCGAAUAGAAUAUAAUCUCAAAACCACUCAGGAGCUGCCCUGGAUGCAUCAUUACAAACAUUACCGAUCCUUCACUUCACUAGUCAAAAGAAGAGGGGGUUUCAUUGUGCAGUCAAUGAACUGCGGUACUUUCCUCAGGACGGGAAUAGCCCCUCAAGAAAUCAAUGUCACGUGCUUAUCGUUUUUACAUAAAACCAUACGGUCUGCUGCCAGACUGCUGCACCAGUAGAACCAUCCACAGGCGAUGCCCUGCUCAACAGCUCUGAAACGUAUGGAGAAGCUGGACCAAGAGGCAUAGAGACACAGCAACAAAGAAACAUUGUUGUACACAUAUGUAUGAAAAAAAAAAAUUACACUAUGUGAAAACUGUUCACAUUGUGGCAUCCCGCCACGUAAACCGCGGCCUGGACGGGCCCGAGGGACCGUGAAGGACGGGGUAUACCACCCCCACCCACCAGCCGGCGACGGAGAGCAUCCCUUUCGCCUCCCCAAUCAGGGUGAUUGGUGGACACCUGGCCGGUGGCAGGGGAGCCAUCUUAAAAGGAGGUCCAGGACAGCACAGCACGGGAGCAAGGAGGAAGUGCUCGUGUCCGGGAGAGGCUAGA